UACGGAGGGGGCUAGCGUUGUUCGGAAUUACUGGGCGUAAAGCGCACGUAGGCGGCUUUGUAAGUUAGAGGUGAAAGCCCUGGGCUCAACCCAGGAAGUGCACAUGAUACUACGUGGCUGGAGUACUGAAGAGGAGAGCGGAAUUCCCGGUGUAGAGGUGAAAUUCGUAGAUAUCGGGAGGAACACCAGUGGCGAAGGCGGCUCUCUGGGCAGAUACUGACACUGAGACGCGAAAGCGUGGGUAGCAAACAGG
rnacentral:rRNA from 1 species